UUUUAAAACUACCACCUAUAAAUAUAUUUUUAUUGUAAAUUGAUUGCACCCAUAUCACUUUUUCAGAAAUUGGUUCUCUCUCACUCUCUUGGUUGUCUCUGUCUUCAGCCCGUCUCUCUCUGUCGUGCAACUCUCUCUCUCUCUCUCUCUCUCCGACGCAGUCAUCUUCCUCCCUCAACCAUCCAAGCUUAACUCCACAAUUCACAUCCACGAGAGGUAGAUUUGUUUUGUGCCCAGAAGAUUGUGACUUUUUUGAAAGUUCGUAAAUGGAAAAGGCAGCUGCCCCUGCGGCUUGGAACCCUCAAUUUGGAGGGUUUAUUGACUGCAUGCUUCCUUGUUCUGGAAGACUUCCUCAGUUCCGUUGAGCCAACAAACCUUAUGAGGUUGAAUGUGAAGUGUUACCUUGCAUCUGCAUGUUUCAUCUUUUAACUUUCUUUUCAUGUUUCACGCUGAUGCUUGUAGUUAUUUCUAGUUUUGCAUACAGAUUAGCAA